GCUCACAUGAAGAGAGUGAAGUGAGGAGUUUGCUGCAGUGUCUGCCUUAUAUCUCACAGCUCAGAGUUGAUGCUGAGACAUCAGAUGAAGACAGAACGAAGAUCUUUGUGAGUCUGUUCUGUGCAGCAGCAGAGAGAGAGCAGCAGACAGGAGAGAAGAUCCUGGAGCUGUUAGCAUCAGUGUGCAGAUA